UACGUAUGUCUCGAGCGUUACCCGGAAUCACUGGGUGUAAAGGGUUUGUAGGCGGCUUGUUAAGUUGGAUAUGAAAGACCGGAGCUCAACUCCGAGUUUGUGUUCAAAACUGGCAAGCUAGAAUCAAGGAGAGGUAAGCGGAAUUCUAAGUGUAGGGGUGCAAUCCGUAGAUACUUAGAGGAACACCAAAAGCGAAGGCAGCUUACUGGAAUUGUAUUGACGCUGAGGAACGAAAGCGUGGGGAGCGAAAAGG
rnacentral:rRNA from 1 species